UACGUAGGGUGCCAGCGUUAAUCGGAAUUACUGGGCGUAAAGCGUGCGCAGGCGGUUUUGUAAGACAGGCGUGAAAUCCCCGGGCUCAACCUGGGAAUUGCGCUUGUGACUGCAAAGCUGGAGUGCGGCAGAGGGGGAUGGAAUUCCGCGUGUAGCAGUGAAAUGCGUAGAUAUGCGGAGGAACACCGAUGGCGAAGGCAAUCCCCUGGGCCUGCACUGACGCUCAUGCACGAAAGCGUGGGGAGCAAACAGG
rnacentral:rRNA from 1 species